AGGAAGCAGAGAGUCAUUCCCCUGAGUCAGGCGGGGCUUGUCCCGCGCUAACUAGGCUUCUUUCUCCCUCUCCAAGCGCUUUGGUAACAGAGCUGGAUCCCGCCAUCCUCCCCCCAGAGGAGCCCAGGAGUAAACAGGCUGGGUUCCCACCGCGUAGGGGAUCCAGAACCCCCACUGUAGACGCCGUCUCCGGGAACGCGAGAGCCCCCACCCCGCCCCAACCCCACUGGCUGGAGGAGACCUGUUCUUUCUGACAAAAGGGGAUCUGGAUUAUCCUCAGAAGGUCUGUUGGAGGACGAUGGUAAAGGCGAAUCAACAGAGGUGUUACCAGGAAUGUCCUGAAGAUUCCUAUAAAAAUAUGCCCAGAAACCUAAGGGCCCAGACUUAUUGCUGAU